rnacentral:rRNA from 1 species
GAUAAACGCUGGCGGCGUGCUUAACACAUGCAAGUCGAACGAAUAAACCAUCUUCGGAUGGAUAUAGAGUGGCGAACGGGUGAGUAACACGUGACCAACCUACCUUCCACAUUGGGAUAACUCGGAGAAAUCCAAGCUAAUACCAAAUACUCCGCGCAGAUCGCAUGACCUGCGCGGGAAAGCUUUUGCGGUGGAAGAUGGGGUCGCGGCCUAUUAGAUAGUUGGUGAGGUAACGGCUCACCAAGUCAAUGAUAGGUAGCCGGGUUGAGAGACUGAUCGGGCACAUUGGGACUGAGAUACGGCCCUGACUCCUACGGGAGGCAGCAGUGGGGAAUGUUGCGCAAUGGGGGAAACCCUGACGCAGCAACGCCGCGUGCGGGAUGAAGGCCUUCGGGUUGUAAACCGCUUUCAGCAGGGAAGAAAUUGACGGUGCCUGCAGAAGAAGCUCCGGCUAACUACGUGCCAGCCGCCGCGGUAACAC